GGCAGCCCCUCGUGUGGCGCCAUCUCGUAAAACUCCCCCAGGACCGGAAGGUAGCAAGGGUAUAUGGGCUCUGGCGGGUGCACGGGGGGUCUUUUCG
rfam:Kocuria marina strain SO9-6 KM0011, whole genome shotgun sequence.